UUAAGUUCAGCGGGUAUCCCUACCUGAUCCGAGGUCAACCUUGAUAAAAUUGGGGGUUACUGGCAAGACACCACCGAGACCCUAUAGCGAGAAGAAUUACUACGCUCAGAGCUCGAGGGCACCGCCACUGGGUUUAGAGGCUGCGGAAUCGCAGGCCCCAAGACCAAGCCGAAGCUUGAUGGGUUGAAAUGACGCUCGAA
rnacentral:misc_RNA from 1 species